CCUACGGGAGGCAGCAGUGAGGAAUAUUGGUCAAUGGGCGAGAGCCUGAACCAGCCAAGUCGCGUGAGGGAGUACUGCCCUAUGGGUUGUAAACCUCUUUUGUCGGGGAGCAAAAGCCGGACGUGUCCGGCUGUGAGAGUACCCGCAGAAAAAGCAUCGGCUAACUCCGUGCCAGCAGCCGCGGUAAUACGGAGGAUGCGAGCGUUAUCCGGAUUUAUUGGGUUUAAAGGGUGCGCAGGCGGAUUUUUAAGUCAGCGGUAAAAUCGUGGGGCUCAACCCCAUCCAGCCGUUGAAACUGGGGAUCUAGAGUGUGCGAGAGGUAUGCGGAAUGCGUGGUGAAGCGGUGAAAUGCAUAGAUAUCACGCAGAACCCCGAUUGCGAAGGCAGCAUACCGGUGCACAACUGACGCUCAGGCACGAAAGCGUGGGUAUCGAACAGGAUUAGAUACCCUGGUAGUC
rnacentral:rRNA from 1 species